GAAAAAGGUAGACCUUCAAACUAAGGUACACAGUGUUUCCGCUCCCCCGUGAUCGGAUGUGCAUUUAACGUGCUUAACACUGGAAUUAUACCUGUCCGUUGAUUGUCCUAGAUUUCCCACACAUCCAGGUUGAUGUCCACCACCACUACAGCGCCCCCUAGCGGCCUCACAGAGGAGGAGAAGGCUAUUGUCUCUAUUGUGUGCUCCAUAGCCGGUUUGGCGAUCAUAGCACUUGCUUUGCGGUUUCUCAUCCCGAUCUGCCAAAAUAAAAGAUAUAAAAAGGAGCCCGACGACCGGAGCCUGUUCCAGUCCACACAGUCGCUGGCUAACACAGAACAUAAGUUUUAUUACUCUGGUCCUGUAAUACCACCACGUGAAGCCAAGUCAGACAGUGGUGGGCCUGAAGAGUUACUCCCGGACCCUCACGUGACUACAACGAAGCAUUCAUAUGUGAACACGGUAUCCGAAGAUUUUCAUGGGAACAGCGCGUGGGUUUCGGGAUUUGAUUUGUCUGAAGAUAGCACG